rnacentral:lncRNA from 1 species
GGAGAUCAUGGUUUUAGGAUUAGAAGGAGAUACCCUUGGUCUAUAAAUAGAGGUGUCUCCACCCGUGUAUUUCAUCUUGGAAUUAAGUAAUGUUAUGCUUCCAAAAUAUGGCCAUACUCUUCCUUGAUCAAGACUUGAACAACCUUAGAGGCCCUUCUAGUCACCUUACUCCUUGAGUUGGCCUAUCCUCUCUUGGAGCCACCAAACACUACACCACCACCACC